GACAGAGGGUGCAAACGUUGUUCGGAAUUACUGGGCGUAAAGCGUGCGCAGGCGGUUCGUCAAGUCUGAUGUGAAAGCCCCGGGCUCAACCUGGGAAUGGCAUUGGAAACUAGCGAGCUUGAGUGUGGCAGAGGGGGGUGGAAUUCCACGUGUAGCAGUGAAAUGCGUAGAGAUGUGGAGGAACACCGAUGGCGAAGGCAGCCCCCUGGGCUAACACUGACGCUCAUGCACGAAAGCGUGGGGAGCAAACAGG
rnacentral:rRNA from 1 species